rnacentral:rRNA from 1 species
AGAGUUUGAUCCUGGCUCAGGAUGAACGCUAGCGACAGGCUUAACACAUGCAAGUCGAGGGGCAGCGGGGGUAGCAAUACCCGCCGGCGACCGGCGCACGGGUGAGUAACGCGUAUGCAACUUACCUAUCAGAGGGGGAUAACCCGGCGAAAGUCGGACUAAUACCGCAUGAAGCAGGGGCCCCGCAUGGGGAUAUUUGCUAAAGAUUCAUCGCUGAUAGAUAGGCAUGCGUUCCAUUAGGCAGUUGGCGGGGUAACGGCCCACCAAACCGACGAUGGAUAGGGGUUCUGAGAGGAAGGUCCCCCACAUUGGUACUGAGACACGGACCAAACUCCUACGGGAGGCAGCAGUGAGGAAUAUUGGUCAAUGGACGCAAGUCUGAACCAGCCAUGCCGCGUGCAGGAAGACGGCUCUAUGAGUUGUAAACUGCUUUUGUACGAGGGUAAACGCUCUUACGUGUAAGAGCCUGAAAGUAUCGUACGAAUAAGGAUCGGCUAACUCCGUGCCAGCAGCCGCGGUAAUACGGAGGAUCCAAGCGUUAUCCGGAUUUAUUGGGUUUAAAGGGUGCGUAGGCGGUUUGAUAAGUUAGAGGUGAAAUCCCGGGGCUUAACUCCGGAACUGCCUCUAAUACUGUUAGACUAGAGAGUAGUUGCGGUAGGCGGAAUGUAUGGUGUAGCGGUGAAAUGCUUAGAGAUCAUACAGAACACCGAUUGCGAAGGCAGCUUACCAAACUAUAUCUGACGUUGAGGCACGAAAGCGUGGGGAGCAAACAGGAUUAGAUACCCUGGUAGUCCACGCAGUAAACGAUGAUAACUCGUUGUCGGCGAUACACAGUCGGUGACUAAGCGAAAGCGAUAAGUUAUCCACCUGGGGAGUACGUUCGCAAGAAUGAAACUCAAAGGAAUUGACGGGGGCCCGCACAAGCGGAGGAACAUGUG